rnacentral:rRNA from 1 species
AAGGCCUUCGGGUUGUAAAGCUCUUUCGGUGGGAACGAAAAGGUACAGGCGAAUAACCUGCGCUAAUGACGGUACCCAAAGAAGAAGCACCGGCUAACUACGUGC